CCUACGGGCGGCAGCAGUGAGGAAUAUUGGUCAAUGGGCGCUAGCCUGAACCAGCCAAGUAGCGUGAAGGAUGACUGCCCUAUGGGUUGUAAACUUCUUUUAUAUGGGAAUAAAGUGCAGUAUGUAUACUGCUUUGCAUGUACCUUAUGAAUACGGAUCGGCAAAUACCGUGCCAGCAGCCGCGGUAAUCCGGAGGUUCUGAGCGUUAUCCGGAUUUAUUGGGUUUAAGGGGAGCGUAGGUGGAUUGUUAAGUCAGUUGUGAAAGUUUGCGGCUCAACCGUAAAAUUGCAGUUGAAACUGGCAGUCUUGGGUACAGUAGAGGUGGGCGGAAUUCGAGGUGUAGCGGUGAAAUGCUUAGAUAUCACGAAGAACUCCGAUUGCGAAGGCAGCUCACGGGACUGCAACUGACACUGAUGCUCGAAAGUGUGGGUAUCAAACAGGAUUAGAUACCCCUGUAGU
rnacentral:rRNA from 1 species